rnacentral:rRNA from 1 species
GAUGAACGCUAGCUACAGGCUUAACACAUGCAAGUCGAGGGGUAGCAGGGUAGCAAUACCGCCGACGACCGGCGCACGGGUGAGUAACACGUAUCCAACCUUCCCAUAACUCGGGGAUAGCCUUUCGAAAGAAAGAUUAAUACCCGAUACUACUUUUUCAAGGCAUCUUGAGAAAGUUAAAAAUUUAUUGGUUAUGGAUGGGGAUGCGUUCCAUUAGAUGUUUGGUGAGGUAACGGCUCACUAAGUCUUCGAUGGAUAGGGGUCCUGAGAGGAAGAUACCCCACAUUGGUACUGAGGCACGGACCAAACUCCUACGGGAGGCAGCAGUGAGGAAUAUUGGUCAAUGGGCGAGAGCCUGAACCAGCCAAGUAGCGUGAAGGAUGAAGGUCCUAUGGAUUGUAAACUUCUUUUAUAGUAGAAUAAAGUGAUCCACGUGUGGAUUUUUGUAUGUAUAUUAUGAAUAAGGAUCGGCUAACUCCGUGCCAGCAGCCGCCGUAACAC